rnacentral:tmRNA from 1 species
GGGGCUGAUUCUGGAUUCGACGGGAUUUGCGAAACCCAAGGUGCAUGCCGAGGGGCGGUUGGCCUCGUAAAAAGCCGCAAAAAAUAGUCGCAAACGACGAAAACUACGCUUUAGCAGCUUAAUAACCUGCUUAGAGCCCUCUCUCCCUAGCCUCCGCUCUUAGGACGGGGAUCAAGAGAGGUCAAACCCAAAAGAGAUCGCGUGGAAGCCCUGCCUGGGGUUGAAGCGUUAAAACUUAAUCAGGCUAGUUUGUUAGUGGCGUGUCCGUCCGCAGCUGGCAAGCGAAUGUAAAGACUGACUAAGCAUGUAGUACCGAGGNAGGAUGUAGGAAUUUCGGACGCGGGUUCAACUCCCGCCAGCUCCACCA